AUAUUAUUAGUGUGUUGUCCUUGGGGAUAAGUGGAUACUUAGAAAGAUAAAUGAACUCCAGACACAUUGAAAGGGGUUUACUGAAGAAGAAUGCCUGCUAAGGUCAAUUUAAUUCUUGGACCCACUUUGGAUUUAUUUCUUGGACCCACUUUGGAAAAAUCACUAAAAAGGAUGACUCAGCCAGGGAAAUGAUUGUCAUUCCAACAGCAUGAACAGCAAACAAAGUAUGUUGUGCAAGCUUAGGCCAACACUGUUUCAAAACAGGCAUGAAAAUCUUUGACUAAAAAAGGGUAACAUGGCC